rnacentral:rRNA from 1 species
GUAACAAGGCUCCGUAGGGUGAACCUGCGGAGGGAUCAUUACACAAAUAUGAAGGCGGGCUGGAACCUCUCGGGGUUACAGCCUUGCUGAAUUAUUCACCCUUGUCUUUUGCGUACUUCUUGUUUCCUUGGUGGGUUCGCCCACCACUAGGACAAACAUAAACCUUUUGUAAUUGCAAUCAGCGUCAGUAACAAAUUAAUAAUUACAACUUUCAACAACGGAUCUCUUGGUUCUGGCAUCGAUGAAGAACGCAGCGAAAUGCGAUAAGUAGUGUGAAUUGCAGAAUUCAGUGAAUCAUCGAAUCUUUGAACGCACAUUGCGCCCUUUGGUAUUCCAAAGGGCAUGCCUGUUCGAGCGUCAUUUGUACCCUCAAGCUUUGCUUGGUGUUGGGCGUCUUGUCUCUAGCUUUGCUGGAGACUCGCCUUAAAGUAAUUGGCAGCCGGCCUACUGGUUUCGGAGCGCAGCACAAGUCGCACUCUCUAUCAGCAAAGGUCUAGCAUCCAUUAAGCCUUUUUUUCAACUUUUGACCUCGGAUCAGGUAGGGAUACCCGCUGAACUUAUGCAUAUCAAUAAGGCGGAGGAAA